rnacentral:rRNA from 1 species
GGCUGGUAUGAACGGUUGGACGAGGUAUAAGCUGUUUCAUAUAAAUUUAUAAUAGAAUUUUAUAUUUUAGUUAAAAAGCUAAAAUGUUGUUAAAAGACGAGAAGAACUAUAAAUCUUUAUACUUUACUUUAUUUAAGUUUUCGUAGAUUUAUUUUUAUAUUGGGGAGUAUUUUAUUGGGGUGAUAUUAAAAUUUAAUUAACUUUUAAUUGUAUUUGGUUCAUUGAUUUAUGAUUUAUUGAUCCGUUAUUAGUGAUUAUGAGAUUAAGUUACUUUAGGGAUAACAGCGUAAUUUUUUUGGAGAGUUCAUAUCGAUAAAAAAGUUUGCGACCUCGAUGUUGGAU